rnacentral:rRNA from 1 species
UACGUAGGUGGCAAGCGUUGUCCGGAUUUAUUGGGCGUAAAGAGCUCGUAGGCGGCUUGUCGCGUCGACUGUGAAAACCCGUGGCUCAACCAUGUGGUCUGCAGUCGAUACGGGCAGGCUAGAAUUCGGUAGGGGAGACUGGAAUUCCUGGUGUAGCGGUGAAAUGCGCAGAUAUCAGGAGGAACACCGGUGGCGAAGGCGGGUCUCUGGGCCGAUAUUGACGCUGAGGAGCGAAAGCGUGGGGAGCGAACAGG